rnacentral:rRNA from 1 species
UACGAAGGGGGCUAGCGUUGCUCGGAAUCACUGGGCGUAAAGCGCACGUAGGCGGAUUGCUAAGUCAGGGGUGAAAUCCUGGAGCUCAACUCCAGAACUGCCCUUGAUACUGGGGAUCUUGAGUCCGGAAGAGGUGAGUGGAACUCCGAGUGUAGAGGUGAAAUUCGUAGAUAUUCGGAAGAACACCAGUGGCGAAGGCGGCUCACUGGUCCGGUACUGACGCUGAGGUGCGAAAGCGUGGGGAGCAAACAGG